rnacentral:rRNA from 1 species
AAGCGUUAUCCGGAAUUAUUGGGCGUAAAGCGUCCGCAGGCGGCUUUUUAAGUCUGUUGUCAAAGCCCACAGCUCAACUGUGGAUCGGCAAUGGAAACUGGGAAGCUAGAGUGUGGUAGGGGUAGAGGGAAUUCCCGGUGUAGCGGUGAAAUGCGUAGAGAUGUGGAGGAACACCAGUGGCGAAGGCGACUCUUUGGCCUGUAACUGACGCUGAGGCGCGAAAGCGUGGGGAGCAAACAGG